rnacentral:tRNA from 14 species
CUCCUCCCUGGUCUUGGCGGCGGACUUGAAAACCUUCUUGGUCCAGCCGGCCGCCCG